CGGCGAGUAGCGCAGCUUGGUAGUAGCGCAACUGGUUUGGGACCAGUGGGUCGGAGGUUCGAAUCCUCUCUCGCCGACCA
rnacentral:tRNA from 1 species